UAUUUAGACUUGGUGGUUCAGGAGUAGCACAAAGUACAAGGAAAAUGCUUUAUAAGGUUCUGGGCAAUGAAAUUGCACAAAAAUAUUCUUGGGAUGGGGCCAAACAGAAGAGAAGUUUGAAAUCAUUGUUAGUGGCCAAAAGCAAUUUUAGACUCCAUGAAAGGUCAAUUUCAAGAGUCAAAAGAAACCGAAAUUAUCAAUAUAAUUAAAAUAUGGCUUGUAAAAACAAAAGAAAGAUUAAAAAAUACCAAGAAGGGUAGACAAGAGAAUAUAGAAACAUAGA